GGACCGGAUGGUUUCUCAGCCAUGUUUUAUAAAACUUUUGCUGACAUCUUGGCUCCCACAUUACAGAAGGUAUUUUAAAAAGUCUCUAUUACAAAUCCCUUUCCUAAAGCGAUGUUGUUAGCAUCUAUCAUCCGGUUCCCUAAACCAGGUAAAGAUCUUACCAAUACUUCAAACUAUAGACUUUCUUUAAUAAAUCUAUACAUAAAAAUCUAUUCCCAUAUUUUAGCAAACAGAUUGCAACUAGUAAUCUCGUAUCUGAUUUUGGUGGAUCAGUCGGGCUUCAUCAGGGACAGAGGUACAACGGAUAAUAUCCGCAAAAUUCUUAAUCUGAUAAUCAAAAGUAAUCUUACCAAUUCUGAAAUGGUUAUUUUGGCCCUCGAUGCUGAAAAAGCAUUUGGUAGGGUUAACUGGAGAUUUUUUGAUAAAGUAUUAAAUAAAUUUGGAUUUCAGGGUCCAUUUAAAGAUAAAAUUAUCUCACUAUAAACGGAGCCAGUGGCGAAAAUUGUAAAUUCUUUCUUUGAAUCAUCCCCAUUCCAAUAAAUAAUGGCACAAGGCAAGGUUGUCCAUUGGCUCCAUUACUUUACAUCUUAUCUCUUGAGCCACUGGCUAUUAUUAUUAGGGAGAACAAAGAAAUACAUGAUAUUAAAUCAGCUGAUCGUGAGUACAAAAUCUCCCUAUUUGCUGAUGGUUUGCUCUUGUCCCUGGUGAAGCCCUCAAUCUCUAUUCCAGAGGUUAUAAAAAAACUAUUGAGAAAUAUGGAAAUGUUUAAAAUUAUAAAAUAAAGGAAAAAUGGUCCAGGCACUCCUUGGUUCAAAAAUGGGCACUUUAUUAGAAGCACAGCAACGUUUUGAC